AGUCGUACGCUUCUUUUUCACCGGAGCUUGCUCCACCGGAAAAAGAAGAGUGGCGAACGGGUGAGUAACACGUGGGUAACCUGCCCAUCAGAAGGGGAUAACACUUGGAAACAGGUGCUAAUACCGUAUAACAAUCGAAACCGCAUGGUUUUGAUUUGAAAGGCGCUUUCGGGUGUCGCUGAUGGAUGGACCCGCGGUGCAUUAGCUAGUUGGUGAGGUAACGGCUCACCAAGGCUACGAUGCAUAGCCGACCUGAGAGGGUGAUCGGCCACAUUGGGACUGAGACACGGCCCAAACUCCUACGGGAGGCAGCAGUAGGGAAUCUUCGGCAAUGGACGAAAGUCUGACCGAGCAACGCCGCGUGAGUGAAGAAGGUUUUCGGAUCGUAAAACUCUGUUGUUAGAGAAGAACAAGGAUGAGAGUAACUGUUCAUCCCUUGACGGUAUCUAACCAGAAAGCCACGGCUAACUACGUGCCAGCAGCCGCGGUAAUACGUAGGUGGCAAGCGUUGUCCGGAUUUAUUGGGCGUAAAGCGAGCGCAGGCGGUUUCUUAAGUCUGAUGUGAAAGCCCCCGGCUCAACCGGGGAGGGUCAUUGGAAACUGGGAGACUUGAGUGCAGAAGAGGAGAGUGGAAUUCCAUGUGUAGCGGUGAAAUGCGUAGAUAUAUGGAGGAACACCAGUGGCGAAGGCGGCUCUCUGGUCUGUAACUGACGCUGAGGCUCGAAAGCGUGGGGAGCAAACAGGAUUAGAUACCCUGGUAGUCCACGCCGUAAACGAUGAGUGCUAAGUGUUGGAGGGUUUCCGCCCUUCAGUGCUGCAGCUAACGCAUUAAGCACUCCGCCUGGGGAGUACGACCGCAAGGUUGAAACUCAAAGGAAUUGACGGGGGCCCGCACAAGCGGUGGAGCAUGUGGUUUAAUUCGAAGCAACGCGAAGAACCUUACCAGGUCUUGACAUCCUUUGACCACUCUAGAGAUAGAGCUUCCCCUUCGGGGGCAAAGUGACAGGUGGUGCAUGGUUGUCGUCAGCUCGUGUCGUGAGAUGUUGGGUUAAGUCCCGCAACGAGCGCAACCCUUAUUGUUAGUUGCCAUCAUUCAGUUGGGCACUCUAGCAAGACUGCCGGUGACAAACCGGAGGAAGGUGGGGAUGACGUCAAAUCAUCAUGCCCCUUAUGACCUGGGCUACACACGUGCUACAAUGGGAAGUACAACGAGUCGCGAAGUCGCGAGGCUAAGCUAAUCUCUUAAAGCUUCUCUCAGUUCGGAUUGUAGGCUGCAACUCGCCUACAUGAAGCCGGAAUCGCUAGUAAUCGCGGAUCAGCACGCCGCGGUGAAUACGUUCCCGGGCCUUGUACACACCGCCCGUCACACCACGAGAGUUUGUAACACCCGAAGUC
rnacentral:rRNA from 1 species